UACGUAGGUGACAAGCGUUGUCCGGAUUUACUGGGCGUAAAGAGCGCGCAGGCGGUCGUUCAAGUCGAGUGUGAAAGCCCCCGGCUCAACUGGGGAGGGUCACUCGAUACUGAUCGACUCGAAGGCAGGAGAGGGAAGUGGAAUUCCCGGUGUAGUGGUGAAAUGCGUAGAUAUCGGGAGGAACACCAGUGGCGAAGGCGAGUCCCUGGACAAUUCCUGACGCUGAGGCACGAAAGCCAGGGGAGCAAACAGG
rnacentral:rRNA from 1 species